AAAAAGGAGAAAAUAAGAGAGGAGAAGAGAGCUGGUCGGCGCUCUCACCCGAUGUUUCUCAGCAAGAGCAGCCCUAUAAUAAAAACAAGAACAAAAACAAGAAGAUGAAGAAGAUGUAAGGCCUGUUCAUAAUAUUCAAACAUUAAUAACAUAAGAAGAUCCAUUUCUUCCUUUUAGCUGCAACUCACAGAUCAUUCCCUCUUCCCCUCCCCCCCACCAUCUUCCCUUUCCUUCUAUCUCUCUCUCAUUUUUAGCUCAUUUCAGUCAUUUUUGUCAGUGGUAUUGAUGAGUAAUCAUUAAAUGAAGAGAAGGCCGUGAGCAAAACUUUGACUGUUUCAUGGGCAACACAUGCCGCGGAUCUUUCAA
rnacentral:misc_RNA from 1 species